GUCUUGGAUUCUUUUGCUGGUCGCUGCUGCAGCUCUCUCUCUCUCUCUCUCUCAUGGCGGCAGCCAUUAAAGCUCAUCUUUAGAGCUAAAUGCUCUUUCUUCUUUAGGUUUCUUCUUCAACUUUUUACUUGGAGUUUCGAGCUCAUAUUUUGGUGGCACAAACCUGCUUUUCUGUCUUUCGCCAUGAAGUCUUCGACUAGGCUUGAUUCGGCUACUUUUCAGCUCACACCUACUCGAACCAGGUGUGAUUUGAUUCUAUCUGCGAAUGGAAAGUCUGAGAAGAUAGCUUCGGGUUUGUUGAAUCCUUUUCUUGCCCAUUUGAAGACUGCACAAGAACAGAUGGCCAGAGGUGGUUAUUCCAUUAUUCUUGAGCCAGACCCUCGCAGUGAUAGAACAUGGUUCACAAAGGGUACCAUGGAGAGGUUUGUCCGAUUUGUAAGCACCCCUGAAAUCUUGGAACGGGUGUACACUAUUGAAUCAGAGAUCUUACAAAUUGAGGAGGCAAUCGUGAUUCAGGGCAACAGUGACAUGGGACCAAAUGUUGUAGAUGACAAGCAAGGAAAGCCUACAAAGGCUAACGAAAGCGCCACCGAAGGUUCUAAAAUCAAUGGAGCAAGCAAGCCUCUUCUGGAUGGUAACGAGGAAAAAGCCAUUGUUCUAUACAAGCCUGAUGCAAAAUCAUUGGAGGGCAAUGGACAUAUGAUGUCAGAGGAGAACUCAAAAGCCCAGCUUCUUAAAGUCUUGGAGACACGCAAAACUAUGCUGCAAAAGGAGCAAGGAAUGGCUUUUGCUCGAGCUGUUGCUGCUGGUUUUGACAUUGAUCGGUUGUCACCCUUGAUAUCAUUUGCCAACAGCUUUGGAGCCUCACGAUUGAUGGAUGCGUGCAUAAAAUUCAAAGAACUGUGGAAAAGAAAGCAUGAAAGUGGCCAAUGGCUCGAAAUUGAAGCAGCAGAAGCACUGUCCAGCCGAGCAGACUUUUCCCCUUCCAUGAAUGCAUCAGGCAUUAUACUUACAAGUAUGACUGACAAGCAGACAGAAUCUAGAGAAGCAUUGUCUGAAUCUCAAAGCGAACCAUCUCCGACAAAUAAGGGGAAUGCAAGUGCAGAUGGUAAUACACGGACACCUAUGAUGUACCAGUCACCACCAGGCCACCAGGAGUAUCUUCAUGGGCAGUAUCCUCAUCAUGUCUACCCUCCCUGGCCCAUCAAUUCUCCUCCAGGUGCAUUACCUGUCUUUCAAGGAUACCCCAUGCAAGGAAUGCCUUACUAUCAGAACUAUGCAGGGAGUAGCCCAUUCUUUCAUCCACAUUAUCCAGUAACAGAGGAUUCUCGCCCGGGUGAUGGUAAAAAAAUGGGAGGCAAAAGGCACUCCAUGGAUAGUGGAGAUAACUUGAUGGAACCAGAGGCCUGGGAGUCGAAUGCUUCAGAAACAAGAACACCAGAUGAUGCAGAAUCAGAGCAAGAAGCUUCAGAAGAUCUAAGAAAAGCUGGUCGAUCAGGUAAAAAGAAGUCGAGUGUGGUUGUCAUCCGCAACAUCAACUACAUUGCAUCGAAGAGGCACAACUCAUCAGGCAGUGAAACAGAUUCACGGUCUGAUAGUGAAAGUGGUGAAGAUGGAGAUUCACAGGCUAUUAGUCCGGAACUUAAACACAAGAAAUUACCUAGAUCGUCAAGGAGCAAAGGAAAACAUCUAAAUUUUGGAGAUCAAUCAAAUACUUCUGCAAAAACUGUUUCACCAGAAGCAGAUGGACAUUGGCAGGCAUUCCAAAGCCUUUUACUUCGGGAUGCUGAUGGGGAUAAACAUCAUGCUGAUCAAAGCCUGUUUACCUUGGAAAGGGAGACGAAGCAGAAAAGGCAACAAAAUAAAGUUGGUGAUGAUCCAUUGAUUGCUCAAGGAUGGAACAAAAAUGAAAUCCGAGAAAAUGGUGCUACAGACAUUGAUCGAGUUGGUGGAAGAAUCAACCGCAUGUCAAGAGCACCAAAUGAUGAAUUAUUAACUUCCAGAGGAGAUGGUCAUUUGAACGUGCAGGCUACAGAACUAGAUGGAGGAAGAAAUGGCUACAGGAGGCCUGGUAGUGAUGAUUUUAUAGUUUAUGGACAAAAAGGUCAAACUCAUUCUAACGCUUACUUGGAUCCAUUAGCUGCAGGUGGCUUUGAUAAUACAAAAAUGAGUUAUGAUAAAAGUUCUUCAAAUAAUUUAGAUGGUGAUUCUUACAUAGUUACAUUAAGAUCGACAUCAAUGGAUGCAGUAGGAAAGGAAGGUAGAAGUGCUGUUGACAUGGAUUCUGAGUUUCCAUCUUCAAAUCGUAAGGCAGAAAACUUGUCCAAUAGAGUUGCUGACUACGAGCCAGAUGUACUGAAUCUGGUGCCAAAGCGUGAAACAGAAGACGAACCUGCUGGCGGCUAUGAUCCUGCUUCAGAAUAUGAAAUGCAAGUCCACGCUGGACGUGUACAAGCUGUGAAUAAAAAGAAGGAAAUGGUGACUGAUGUUAAACAAGGGACUAUUAGGUUGGACAAUGAUCGAAAGCCAAAAGUUACUCCUGACAGAAAAACUGGGGGGCCAAUAAGGAAGGGAAAGCCAUCUAAGUUGAGUCCUUUAGAUGAAGCACGAGCACGUGCUGAAAAGCUAAGAAGUUAUAAAGCUGAUCUCCAGAAAUUGAAGAAGGAGAAGGAGGAGGAGGCAAUAAAAAGAAUAGAAACUUUAAAGCUAGAGAGGCAAAAGAGAAUUGCAGCAAGGGGUAACAACAGCAAUACUGCUGCUCAGUCAUCAUUGCCCUCUCAACAAACUAGAAAGCUCCUGCCAACAAAAAUGUCACCGAGCUCUCAGAAAGGGUCAAAAUUUAGUGAUUCAGAUCCAGGACCAUCAUCUCCUCUGCAAAGGUUCUCCAUCAGAACGGCUUCAAAUGGUUCCAAUGAUUCCAACAGUGCUGCAAAACCCAGCAGAUUGAAUGGUAUAAAUCACUCAGCUGGAAACCGGUUAAGUCAAUCUGUACCUUCAUUAAAUAAACUAAAGAAAGAGAACAGUGAGGCUACACAUGAUAAAAAAGUAUCCAUGGCUCGAAUUAGAAGAUUAUCAGAGCCAAAAAUGAGUAUCAGCAAUCAUUCUUCUUCUUUCAAGACGCGGAGCACUGAGCCAGCUUUGAAGGCAAAACUAACAAAUGAGACUGAGAGCAAAAAGAAGAUAUUUAAUGAGACUGACAGCAAAAAGAAGGUAUCUAAUGAGACUGAUAGCAAAAGGAAGAUAUCUAAUGAGACUGACAGCAAAAAGAAGGUAUCUUAUGAGACUGAUAGCAAAAAGAAGAUAUCUGCUAUAAUGAAUUUGGAUAAGAGCAAGGCUGCAACUCUUCCGGAACUUAAAAUUAGAACGCCCAAGGGACCUGGUGCUACAAUUGGCAACUCAUUAGCAAAAGAAAUGACGCAGAGCGUUAAUUGUUCUUCAGUUUCUGAUGUUGCUUGUGCUUCCAUGGAAAAAAUCACUGCCAAAGUCUCACAUCAUAAUGAACUGGAUGACAACCCUGUUGUUGAGAAGACUGUUGUAAUGCUUGAAUGUGAGAAGCCCUCCAUCCGUACAGGUCCUGCUUCUCAAGACAAUCUUUGCGACCGAAGGACAUAUAGCAAGCACAAAAUGGAGGGAAAAACUGAUAUCCCAUCAGAAUAUUCUGCCACCAAUGCUCUUAAUCCCCAAAUUAAAGUGUCCGGUGUUAAUAGAGAACCCAUCAAGCGCCAAUCACAGGGUCAGUUGAGUUCUCGUGAGGUGACGGUGAAUGGUGCAGAUCAGGAAGCACAAAACUUCUCAUCUCCUACUACGACCGAAAAAUUGUAUAAAGCUCCACAUGCUCGAGUUUCGUCUUUUGAAGAUCCUUCCACACGCAUUUCGGAGCAUGGAAAAGCAACCCCAUCAAAUUUGGAGAGUGCAGCAUCAGGCACUGAAACGGCUAAAGCUUAUGUUCCUGAUCAUGGAAACGCACUAUUGGAAAAGAUUCCUGAAGCAUUAGAGAAACCCGAGGCAAAAAAAUCAUCUAAAGGACUUAGAUUGUUUCUGAAGUUUGGAAGAAAGAAUCAAAGCCCAGCUAUAGAUGAGCAUAAUGAUGAAUCAGAUAAUACCAGCGCAACUGGUUCCGAAGCCAAUGAUGUUGGGACAAAUACCACUCCGCACAAUGAAGCAGUUCCUACAUUGAAAAAUCUGAUUUCUCAAGACGAAACCCCCACUGCCAGCAAAACUCAGAAGUCUUCUCGUGCAUUUUCCCUGCUAUCACCUUUCCGAAGCAAGAACAGUGAAAAGAGAACUGCAUAACACGACACAAUUUUGUGGUGCUCUUAAAUAUGUGAAGUUGAGGAACCAUAAAGUUCAAGCUUGUCUUUUGCGCAGCGCAAGCCUUGAUUGGGUUGUGAAGAAUACAACGGUUUGUUUUUUGUUCUUUUAUAAAAUAUUUUCAGUAGCGUUAUCUUAAGCAUGGUCCUUGUAUAUUUUACAUAUUUUUCCAGUGAUGAAUUUCCAUGUAGUGUCCAUUAUGGCUUAUUAAAUGAAAAACCAGUUUCAAAUUACGCAAAAUUUGAUCUACUGUUUAGCUGGUUGCAGCCAUGACCACAAACUGGAAAAAAAAAAAAAAAAAAAAAAAAAAAAAAACUGGAUCGUAUACUACUCAAGGAAUGGAAGAACACAAUGUUUCCUUUAUUGUCUAAAUGAUUGUAGGAGAAUAGAGACUGGAGGCGAGGUCAUUCUCGAAUGUGCUCGUUCGAACACUGAGCCGAGGGACAGGCAUCAAGUCUGAAAUAGUUCAGAGUGGCAAAGACUCGACGAUUUCCCGUGGA